AAACAAUAUCUUAGCUCCUGGUUCUUGGUACUUCCUGGUGGAAAACAUUGUUAGUCUUUGUCUUUGCCGUCAUACUCAUUGGCAUAUUCCUGUGCUAUGGCAUUUAUUGCUGCAUCAAUAUGGUUCCAGUACUAAUGAAUUCUUGUUUCUCUUAUAGACCACCCAUCACUCAAAUGGCCCUCCAGCCUAUUACUUCUCAAUUGGACUUCUAUCAUGGACCACUCGAUAGACCCGAUUUUUAAAGGGGGACUCCAAACUGCUUUCCCCACACCGUCCCUUUUCAGCCUGAAGAAGCCAGAAAGAUCUUCUUCGCCCCCCUUCCUUAC
rnacentral:lncRNA from 1 species